ACGGAAGGCAGCAGUGGGGGAUAUUGCACAAUGGGGGGAACCCUGAUGCAGCGACGCCGCGUGAGUGAAGAAGUAUUUCGGUAUGUAAAGCUCUAUCAGCAGGGAAGAUAAUGACGGUACCUGCAUAAGAAGCCCCGGCUAACUACGUGCCAGCAGCCGCGGUAAUACGUAGGGGGCAAGCGUUAUCCGGAUUUACUGGGUGUAAAGGGAGCGUAGACGGAAGAACAAGUCUGAAGUGAAAUCAUAGGGCUCAACCCUGUAAUUGCUUUGGAAACUGUUUAUCUUGAGUACCGGAGGGGCAGGCGGAAUUCCUGGUGUAGCGGUGAAAUGCGUAGAUAUCAGGAAGAACACCGGUGGCGAAGGCGGCCUGCUGGACGGUAACUGACGUUGAGGCUCGAAAGCGUGGGGAGCAAACAGGAUUAGAUACCCUGGUA
rnacentral:rRNA from 1 species